ACUUUUUUUAAUCAAAGAACUGUCAGGUCAUUGGUUUACCAUGUGGCUUUGUUAAAACGUAAAUGUUUGUUUAGCGUCUGAAGAAGCAGUUACCAGUUUGCCGCCAGCUUCCAGCUCUUAAAGUAGUAACUACAGCAAAAUGUUCGCUCUGCCCCAGUGCUGUGUCUAUGAAGACGAAACAAAAAAAGAUCCAUGGGGACAUCCCAGCAUUCAACAGGAGACAUGGCACAGACUAUGCCUGAACUUGUGACAAGUUUAAAGGUCAUUCAAAAUGAUCCUUCAAAACUCAACCUGUGCCUUUUCCAUUGCAAUUUAUUGAUUUUGGAUCUCUUGCUAUUUGGCUUUGUGCUUCGUUUCUUGGUUUCUGAUUCCUGUCUUGUGCUCUGUAUUUUGAUGAUCUGGUUGGGUUGAUGUCCCAGUUUUCACCUCCACUGUUUGACUACACAGUUUCCUUCUCUGUGUGCUGACUGUCAAGAAAAGCAUAAGGUACCUGCUGCGUUCAUAUUUCUAAGUAAAUAAUGGCAGGUUAUUAAAAUCCUAUA